UCCCUCGUGGCGCAAUUGGCUAGCGCGUAAGUACUCAACUACACCUUGUGAUCAAUCAUCAUUCUAACAAUCACCCAGGUUCGACUGUUAUACAACAGAUUCAUCGAGAGGUUGGUGGUUCAAGCCCACCCGAGGGAG